UUGCCAGCAAGCGUGUGCAGCAGGAGAGUCUCAGUUCCCUGGCACUCUGAUGGCUGUGUUCUGCCUCCCCUUUAUAUGGGUCUCACUGAAGCUGGAGCUAACCAACUUAGCCAGAGUGGAUGGCCAAGGAGCUCGGGGAUUUGCCUGGCCUCAUCUCCCCAGCUUUUUAGGUGGAUGCUGGAUAUCCAGACGGGUUCAAAUGCUUGCAUCCACUGAGCUAAGAUGCAUAUGCAGUCCUCAGCCCCGUGCCAUUCCGUAAUAGAAGAGAAACGAAGCAGUGUGGGUUUCCCUGUCAAUAUUCAUCUACUGAGGCUGCUCUUUGCUCUAGCCAGAAGCAGGGAGGCAGGAAAGGAGCCCUUGUGUUAUUUGAUUCUGAUCUUCAAUGGAUCUAAAUCACUGACUUCUAAUUUGCGUUUCUUAAAAAUAAAAAUAAAAAUAAAAAUAAAAAUAAAAAUAAAAAUAAAAAUAAAUGGAUGUGUGUGUGCCAAGUGUGUGCCUAGUGCCCUCCAAGGUCAGAAGAGGACAGCAGGCCCCCUGGAUCUGGAAUUAAAGACAAUUUGUGAGUGUUCGUGACUGGGAACUGAACCCAGGUCUACUAGAUCAGCCGAUGAUCUUAUCCUCUGUACCAUCUCUCCAGCCCUCGCCGUGCCCUCCUCUAAAAAGAAUCUUCCACAAGAUACUGAGUGCCUUAAACUUUUAAGACAGACUUAAUCAGAAGAGGGAGGAUUUUCAGCAAGAGAAGCACAUGCAUAAAAUCUCAGGGGCUAUCUCUGGUAGGCUACAACUUUGUUCUGAGUGCUAAGAAGUGAUGUGGAAAGAGUGGAAUAGUGUUAAAGGAAAAGCCUGCCCAGGCCAACUGGAACCCAAGAUUCUCAGCCCUUUGCAUCUCUAGGAACUGGAACUGCAGGCUACCAGAUAAGCCAGAGAGCAAUACUCAGUCAAAAGUCAGAGAGCUAUUAGACAAUAUAUGCUAGGGAAAAUUCCACAGUGUCUAGAAAAAGACUCAAACAUUGAGGGGUAACCCUGUGGGAGAUGGUUAUUUUUUUCCCACAUUUUAAUUUUUACAUUUACCUUUAGAGAACUAAAGGCAUUUCUUGCAUAAGUUCUUUCUUUUCCAUAUAGCCCAGGCUGGACUUAAAUCUUAGGUAGUGGAGGCUGUCCUUGAAUUUCAAAUCCUUCUGCCACUACCUCCUAGCUAUGUUAUCAUUCUUCCAUAGGUCUCUCUCUCUCUCAGGAAGAGUGCUCUGAGUUUGAGGCCAGCCUCAGCUACAGAGUAAGAUGCUAUUUGGGUAGAAAUGGGCUGAUUUAGACAAGCUCUAAAGAAUAAAGAACUUCUCUGGGAGGAACAACAAUAUGAACUAACCAGUGUACACACACACACACCAAGAGCUCGUGUCUAGCUGCAUAUGUAGCCGAAGAUGGCCUAGUUGGCCAUCAUUGGGAAGAGAGGCCCCUUGGUCUUGCAAACUUUAUAUGCCCCAGUACAGGGGAACGUCAGGGCCAAGAAGUGGGAGUGGGUGGGUAGGGGAGCAGGGCAGGGGGAGAGUACAGGGAACUUUCGGGAUAGCAUUUGAAAUGUAAAUAAAGAAAAUAUCUAAUAAAAAAUUAAACAUAAAAAAAAGUUAAGCUUGGGGCUAAAGAGAUAGCUCAGUGGUUCAGAGCCUCUUGCAGGGGACCCAGGUUGGGUUCUCAGCACCCAUGUGGUGGUUAACAACUAUCUGCAACUCCAAUUCUGGGGACUCUGACAUCCUCUUCUGACCUCUGCUGUCACCAGACAUGCAGGUGAAUACAUAUAUGAAGACAAAAGCCAGAGCAGUGCUGGAGAGCUCACUGUGGUGGUGUGGCUAAGCAAGAGCCUGCAAGCUGACCAGCUCAGCUCCCACCCAGGCUCAGAUCCAGGACUCUGAGUUGGCCUACCCCAAAAUCUAUAUCAUCUGCGAAUGGUUGGGACAUGCGAAAAGGCCAGUCCUGCUGCAGGAUCUCCAUGACACCGGGCAACAACAGGAUAACCGAGAGGAGUCCUGGUGAGGAUUCAAUAUUGAUGG